UGAGAGAUAGACAGACAGACAAACAGAAAGGCAGAUAGACAGACAGAGAGGAAAACAGACAGACAGACAGAAAGGCAGACAGAAAGACAGACAGAAAGACUGACAGACAGAUAGACAGACAUGGAGACAGACAGAGACAGGCAAACAGACAGACAGACAGACAGAAAGGCAGACAGAUAGACAAACAGAAAGGCAGACAGACAGACAGAGAGGAAAACAGACAGACAGACAGAGACAGGCAAACAGACAGACAGAUAGGCAGACAGAGACAGACAGACAGGCAGACAGACAGACAGGCAGACAGACAGAUAGACAGACAGACAGAUAGACAGACAGA
rnacentral:misc_RNA from 1 species